GCCGGUCAAUGGACCGGGCCCAGUUUCGGGAUCUCACAUCCUCCACCCCUUAAAAGAAAUUUCGUCCACGAAAUUUUCGUACAUGCAGUUCAAGAGUAGAGAAUACUUCUUCCAAAUCAAGUCAUAACACUUUUCAAAUCAAAGUCGUCUUUUUGAUCAAUAUCAAAUAAUUCCAUUCACCACACUUUCUCUGCACACACUGAUUUAAACCUCAACAUACUCGUGUCAAGUCUAGAUUUUUUUUUUUUUGUAGAAUUACUUGCUUAUUGGUACAUUCAUUUUUAUGUCUUCAUCCGUGUGAACACUUUCGAAAUUUAAAAGUUUAUAUUCUUCUUUUGACAAUUAAUCAAAAAAAAAAUUAUGUAACUAUUUAAUCCUUUCUAGCAGCAUAAUGAGUUGUCUAACAAAGAUCAGUGGGCAUGGCUAAACAAUAAAUAUAAAUAAAUAUUGGGACUAGAUUAAUACCUGCCGUCAACACAUCAGAAGCCUGUGCAUCUUGCUGUGUAAGUGCAAUUACUCUUCCUU
rnacentral:lncRNA from 1 species